UUAACAUAAAUCAAUAUUGUCACCUAAUGAUACUGCACUCUAUGAACAGGGAAGAAGAAUAAAAAAACAAUAAAAAAGAAAGGCUAACCAAAAAAAAAAAUAUCGCAAUUAAGCAGUAGCAGCCUAGCGGUAUAUCCAGCGGCUCUGAAACGAAUCGAAGCCAAAACCCUCCUCUCUCAUUUAUCCCCUGGAAAUCUCUCUAAAUUCGAAGCUGCCAAAAUGGUAGCAUCAGCUGUUUCAGCCCCUCUUAGCUUGUCUAUCUCUUCUCGCAACAAAAUCCCCUCCAUUUCUCUAUUUUCUCAAAGAAACUCGGCAAGGUGCACAGUUUCCUCUUUGCAUUGUCCCUACGGCGAGUCUUCAGCCGAAGGACUAUCAAGUAAAACUUGUGGGUUCCCACUAAGGGUUGAUGAGAAGGAUAUUCGUUAUGCUAAUCAAAGUUAUCCUGCAAUUAGAGCCAACAAAGCAAAUCCACCAAUUAUGCCAGCGGUUAUGACUCCAGGAGGACCUUUGGAUCUAUCAUCUAUAUUAUUUAGGAAUCGCAUAAUCUUCAUUGGGCAGCCAAUAAAUUCACAGGUGGCUCAGCGAGUUAUAUCACAACUUGUGACUCUAGCAACUAUUGAUGAGAAAGCAGAUAUUCUGAUGUAUCUCAACUGCCCUGGUGGAAGCACCUACUCUGUAUUGGCAAUUUAUGAUUGCAUGUCUUGGAUAAAACCAAAAGUUGGCACCGUUUGUUUUGGAGUAGCUGCAAGCCAAGGAGCAGUUCUUCUUGCUGGUGGAGAAAAGGGAAUGCGGUAUGCUAUGCCCAAUGCACGUAUUAUGAUACAUCAACCACAGGGUGGAUGUGGGGGUCAUGUGGAGGAUGUGAGACGCCAAGUAAAUGAAGCAGUUCAAUCUCGCCAUAACUCUGGUGCAGAAAAUUGACAGAAUGUAUGCUGCAUUUACUGGCCAACCUCUUGAGAAAGUGCAAGAGUACACCGAGAGGGAUCGCUUCUUAUCUACCUCAGAGGCUAUGGAGUUUGGACUCAUUGAUGGCAUCCUGGAAACAGAAUACUGAACUGGCCAUUAAAUACAUGAAAAGGAACUUUUCGGGGUGGACUUGCUUGGGUUAGAUCACGGAUUAAAUUGGCCGAAGUUAGUGUUUGAGAAAAUGAAAAGGCGGGUUUUGUAAUGAAUUAGUGUCAUUUAUUGUUUCAAGGUUCUUUAAACAGGAAAUUAUUUUUUAGCUUUUGUACGUUGGACAGGAAUUUUGGAAGUUGUAACGAAAAGUCUUAAUUUUUGUUUAUAUUUCAUAUUUUACGAAAAGUCUUAAUGCAGUAAAAGAUUUGGUAUCUCUA